UUUUGAAUGGUAAUGUAUACGACAUCUGUCUGAAUUUUGUCCAUAUUUAAAUGUAUUAACCACUGUGUUGGCUAAUGCAAAAUAUUUAACUGUUUGAGAGAGUAUUUUACGAUGAAUUUGAUUAUAUUUUUGUCUGGCAAAUUAGUCCAAAAGAAUUCAGCUGCAUGUGUGUGUGCAUGAAUGAGGACUGAGACAUCACAAUACUGCUCUUUCCUCAUUGUGCCUUUUGAGUAUGAUAUUAUAAACCAUCCACAUGGUCUGACUCUUAGAUUUAGUUUUUUUAGGUGUGUGUUUGUGUGAGAGUGAGUGUGUAUUUGACCCUCACCUGUAUGAUAAAGUGCAGUUGGGGGCCCCCUGUUGGCUAUAACUGGUACCUGAGUUAUUGUAUUAUUUACACAGAUAUAAAUCAUGAGAAUACAGGUAGAUAGAGUCAAGAGAGCGGCAGUGUGUCUGCUUAACAGCAGUGUAGCUUCUUUUAGUGAAAUACGGCAAGCAAAAUGGGCCAAAAUGAAUCUUGAGGUGAAGAAUGUGAACCGGGACUGCAAGAUAUAUGGCUGCUUGUGUCCAGGAGAGGGAAGUCUAACACCAUUUCCACAUGACGGACAGGAUGCCGAUUUGCUAAGCAAACAAACUUUGAAUUUAAAAUAGUUCACAAAAAGAUUAUCAAGAGUGUUAUCCCAUGAAAUUAUUAUGAAGGCAGUCAGGAGUGAAUAGAAUGUGUGAGAGUAAAGUGCAUGUGAAAUUUUGUCUGUCGCUGAUUAGAGCCCAUCAAAGUGGGCCGUCAGAGGUCUCCUCCGCCGCAGUCUCCCUGUGUCCCCCUUUUCUCUCCUCUCCACUUUACAUCUCCCCGAAUCCUUUGCCUUCUGUCAUUUUUGUUCCUCCUUCUCUCUGUUUUCUCCCUUGUCUCCCUCUGUUGUGGCCACGGCACUAGCCAGGCGGUAUCGAAUGUAAGCCAUGCACAUCAUAUUUUCAUGUGUUCAUGCCUCUUUUUUAAUCCUCUGCCCUCCUUUUCUUGAUAUUCUCAGUCUCUCUCUCUCUCUCUCUCUCUCUCUCUCUCUCUCUCUCUCUCUCCCUGUGCUGCUCCCUCCCUCUCGCACUAUUCUUUCUCUAGUACCCUCCCUUCUGCUCCAAUCUUCAGUUCAGCUGGAGUGAGAGAGGGAAAGAAAGAAAAAGAAAGAAAGAGUGAGCAGAAUAAUAGUGAGCGACAAGGGGAAUUUCGGCACUUUUCAACUUUUUCUUCCACUGAAACAGAGAAAAGAUUACAGGCGGUAGUGGGCCUCUUGCGCUAACUGGUGUCAGCUGUUGCAGGAAAUGAAGGGAUCACGUCUAUCCCAAUCUCUCUCUCUCUCUCUGAGUCUGAGUUUUCAUGUGAUUCGUAUCCUGUUAAACACGGCAGAGAGAAUGAGCUGCUCAGACAGAGAGAUGAAUGGGACUCAGAUGAUGAGGGCUUGUGGAGGACCACAGCACCCGAGGCACGGUCAGUCGCUGUCGCCAGCUCGGUGAGUUCACUCCCCUUCUCUCAGUGCGUGUGUGUGAUUUAUACAAGAGCUGACGUGACCUGAUAGUAUCUGUAUGAUAGCAGCAACAGUGUUGCUUGGUUCUUUUUUGUCUUUUUUAUACUCUAAAACCUCAUUGCGGAUAUGCGAAUCUCUCUUCUGCAGCAGUUUAUACUGAUGAAUAGAAAGACGGGUGCUCGAUUCGUCUGAUGUGUGUGUGUGUGUGUGUGUGUGUGUGUGUGUGUGUGUGUGUGUGGCCGGUGUGAGGGGUCUGUGUGUGGCGCCACUUCUCCACGCAUGUCCUCGUCCGCCGUGCGCAUGUGUGUUUGCGCGUGAGAUCCGAUGUCUUUGUGUGCAGUCCAUGCUGAUGGGCGUGUGUGUAACUAUGUUGUGUUGCUUUAAAGUAUCCGAUCGCAGUAAAUGUCGAAGGGAUGUCGAAUUAGAGACGGUGGGGGAAAGAAGGAUGGGACAUCAGAAUGGCGAUCGCUCGGUUCUCCACGCCACACCGUGCCCCUCUCCUUCCCUGAGACCCUAACUUGUGACGUUCUGCUUCGAUGUCCACGGGUUGGGUUCUCGGGAGCUGUGAGAGGCACUCAGUCGUCCGCCCAUCCAGGAGGAACCAGAGGAGAGGACGGCGAGAGAGAUCGUUGAAGCAGAUUGAGUGGGGAAGAAAGGGCGAACAGGAAGAGAGACACGAGAUGGGGAUGAGUGAGGCGACGGUGGUGCAGUGUAGGCCUGUGGAUUCAAGAGUUUAAAGGAUGGAAGAUGAAGAAAGAGAGAGUGAGAGAUUUGGGUUUUUAGGUUGGGGUGACGCUGGGCCAUCGAGGGUUUGGCCCAAACAAAGUGUAUGUUUAGACUGUGAGUCAGGACACUGAAAUGGCUGUGUGUGUGCAUGUCUGUGCCACAGCAUCUGCUACGCCCUCGUUCCGCACCCAUAUUUGUGUGCAUUUUUUUUAAUCCAAAUUCUUCUUUCCUUACAGGAAGUCCUCAUAGGUGGACAUGUCCGGUGACUUCGGGUUCAUUUAUGCAUGCAUGUGUGCUUUAUCCACCAAUUUGAGAGCAGCACAAAGUACUAUUGAGAGCGUUACAUCGAUAGCUCGGUACAAUUGUGUUUGACCUCAUACAAACCUUCAUCGACAUUAAAAAUAAACGCAUGUUUUUGCGACCAUAGGCUAUAUUUUUCCUGAGUGUGUGUCUGGGGUCUGACAUGGUGAUUUGUUGAUAUAAAUAUAACGAACGAUUGCUUACAGCAACGUAUGUUUCAUUAGUGUGAUGCCCGCAGGAUGUAAAUGGCAUAAAAUAGACAGAUACCUUGAGUGUUGCUGCAGCAGAAGUGCAUUGUGUGUGUGUACGCAGCAGCAUGUGUGUUCCUACAGACAUCGUGAGUGAGAUAGCCAGCCGUCUCUGUGGUAGUGCUCCAAAUCUCGCUUAUCUCCCUCACUCUACAGUGCUGCUUGAUGUUCUCAGAGUCAAACAGAGGCUACGCCGUUUCCAACGGGAGCUAGAGUAAAUCCUAGUCUCAAACAAUCCUGCAGAGUAGAUUUUUAUCUGGAAGACUGACUCUGGUGGAGAUUAUGAUGUCCGUUUAUUUUGAAUCCACCUUAUAUUUGUGUAUGUUAACCAUGAAAUGAAGAAAAGCAACAUGAAGCUAUGGUUUCGGGCUUUAUGCUGUCUCUUACUCCGAUAGUAUUUGUCAGUCAGUGUAGAGCGAUGCAUAAUGAUGUGUUUGUUUUUUUUAAAGAUUGGUUGCCAAAUUAAGCUGCUAAAAAGGUCAUUUAAAGGGAGUUGCAAUCAGCAAAAUGAACAACCCAUUCCUUGACAUCAUUAAGUGGCUCAUUAAACUCAAUUUGAACUCUAACUGGAAUACUUUGCUUGUAUUGUUGCACCCCAAUUAAAGCUCCUCUCUGGUGCUUGAAAUACAGCUAAAGAGAAUACUUUGG